rnacentral:rRNA from 1 species
UUAGGAAUAUUCGUCAAUGGGGGCAACCCUGAACGAGCAAUGCCGCGUGAACGAUGACGGUCCUCUGGAUUGUAAAGUUCUGUUGUUUGGGAAGAACGGCUCUAAUAGGAAAUGAUUAGAGAUUGACUGUACCAUUCAAGAAAGCCACGGCUAACUACGUGCCAGCAGCCGCGGUAAUACGUAGGUGGCGAGCGUUAUCCGGAUUUAUUGGGCGUAAAGCGUCCGCAGCCGGUUUAUUAAGUAUAGAAUUAAAUUUCAGGGCUUAACCCUGUCUCGUUCUAUAAACUGAUAGACUAGAGUGUGGUAGAGGCAAGUGGAAUUUCUAGUGUAGCGGUAGAAUGCGUAGAUAUUAGAAGGAACACCAGUGGCGAAGGCGACUUGCUGGGCCAUCACUGACGGUCAGGGACGAAAGCGUGGGGAGCGAAUAGG